CCACUAUUGACGAAUGGUGGUAGCAAAACUUGGUCUGAAGAACCAGUAGACAUACUCCGGAGUGUGUCUAUGACUUAAAGGCUAUAUCAAAGAGUUGAAACCUGUAUC
ncrna:unclassified sequences RAGATH-34 RNA